GACUUUGAUGCGUGAUGGGCGCUGGUGCUGCGGUCCACACCCGGAUCGAUCCGCUAAGGAACUGCCCCACAUCCGGAUCGAUGCCGCCCAAGAGCAAAAUCUGAAGAACAAGGGGUCAUCACAUCACUGGCCUCCAUUCUUGCUUCAUUGAGUUGCCCAUCAAUGCUUAUUAGCGCAAUGCAGAGGCCUAAAAGACUAUUGAUAGGAUGACAAUAGGAGGACAAGAGAUGCCACAUUACCAAACCGGCCCUCCUCAGCCUCUUAUUUGGCAAGGAUCUGCAAGUUCUCUCUGUCUAUUUUGUCUCUUAAAAGUACAUACCAUCAUUUCCUUACAUUUCAUUUUCUUGUGCUGUAGGCAAGAAUGAACACCCUCCAGUUUAGUUGCUUACAAGGCCCAUUGAUGUGGGAGACAAUAACCCCCUGGGACCAUACGAGUACAUGGCUCCAGCUUCACGUUAGGUAUGCAUAUUGAAUUUUAGUUUCAGGGGCCACUAAGUUAUCAGGUUCUUAUAAAUUCAGUUUCUAUGAUCUCUUUGGCCUUUUAGUAUGGAUGUGGCGAUCGGCUUGGAUUUUCAAACAGAUCUGAGAUUAAAAAUGAUUGUUUGCAUUUUUACGUAAGAGGAUUAUCAAAGAAGGAUGUUUCCUUAUAAACAAACCGUCCAUUCAAAGUUAUGUUUUCCCACAUGCUUACUGAUUUUUCUACAAUACUUGCAUACGAUGAUUUGUUAAGUAUUUAUGCUAUACUGAUAAAAACCGCUUCACAUGCUAGAUACGUAGCCUUGCAGCUUUCUUUUGCUCUACGUGUGAAUAGAAUCCGUCCGAGCUACUCCCUGAUGGCCAGAUUUACUUUUGAAUGCCCGUACUGCUUGCAGCGGAUGAUGUUCACAUGUUUGUCUAUCAGCCAUGGUGAACCUGGUCUGAUCAUCCGACACUUUUUAUGCAACGUUGUUGCCUACAUGACCAUGUUGUUAAACCUUGACUAAAUUUCAGUAAAAUGUACCCAGGAAUUCAAUCAGCUAUGUUAUGUAAUAUACUUAGCACAGUAUUGUGUUAGAUGAACCUGUACAUGUUUUUAUCUAUCUAUGCUGGGAUUUAUGCUACGACAUUAAACUUAUAUGCUCUCCAUCAGACGUAUUCACAAGACUGUCAUAUAGCCUAAAUCCAAAAUGCAGUUCUAUGUACAAUUCCAUCCUCAUUGAC